rnacentral:sRNA from 1 species
GCUGGGUACAGUGGUGCACGCCUGUAAUCCUAGCCUCUUGGAGGCCGAGACAGGAGGAUCACAAGUUCAAAGACAGCCUCUGCAAUGGCAAGAUGCUAAGCAACUCAGUGAGACCCUGUCUCUA